rnacentral:rRNA from 1 species
AUUGAACGCUGGCGGCAGGCCUAACACAUGCAAGUCGAGCGGAUGAAGGGAGCUUGCUCCUGGAUUCAGCGGCGGACGGGUGAGUAAUGCCUAGGAAUCUGCCUGGUAGUGGGGGAUAACGUCCGGAAACGGGCGCUAAUACCGCAUACGUCCUGAGGGAGCAAGUGGGGGAUCUUCGGACCUCACGCUCUCAGAUGAGCCUAGGUCGGAUUAGCUAGUUGGUGGGGUAAAGGCCUACCAAGGCGACGAUCCGUAACUGGUCUGAGAGGAUGAUCAGUCACACUGGAAGGGAGACACGGUCAAGACUCCUACGGGAGGCAGCAGUGGGGAAUAUUGGACAAUGGGCGAAAGCAUGAUCCAGCCAUGCCGCGUGUGUGAAGAAGGCCUUCGGAUUGUAAAGCACUUUAAGUUGGGAGGAAGGGCAGUAAGUUAAUACCUUGCUGUUUUGACGUUACCAACAGAAUAAGCACCGGCUAACUUCGUG